GAUGAACGCUGGCGGCGUGCCUAAUACAUGCAAGUCGAGCGAACAGACGAGGAGCUUGCUCCUUCGACGUUAGCGGCGGACGGGUGAGUAACACGUAGGUAACCUACCUAUAAGACUGGGAUAACUUCGGGAAACCGGAGCUAAUACCGGAUAAUAUUUCGAACCGCAUGGUUCGAUAGUGAAAGAUGGCUUUGCUAUCACUUAUAGAUGGACCUGCGCCGUAUUAGCUAGUUGGUAAGGUAACGGCUUACCAAGGCAACGAUACGUAGCCGACCUGAGAGGGUGAUCGGCCACACUGGAACUGAGACACGGUCCAGACUCCUACGGGAGGCAGCAUUAGGGAAUCUUCCGCAAUGGGCGAAAGCCUGACGGAGCAACGCCGCGUGAGUGAUGAAGGUCUUCGGAUCGUAAAACUCUGUUAUUAGGGAAGAACAAACGUGUAAGUAACUGUGCACGUCUUGACGGUACCUAAUCAGAAAGCCACGGCUAACUACGUG
rnacentral:rRNA from 1 species